CAGCCGCCGCGGGAAUACGAAGGGGGCUAGCGUUGUUCGGAAUUACUGGGCGUAAAGCGCACGUAGGCGGAUCGAUUAGUCAGGGGUGAAAUCCCAGGGCUCAACCCUGGAACUGCCUUUGAUACUGUCGAUCUGGAGUAUGGAAGAGGUGAGUGGAAUUCCGAGUGUAGAGGUGAAAUUCGUAGAUAUUCGGAGGAACACCAGUGGCGAAGGCGGCUCACUGGUCCAUUACUGACGCUGAGGUGCGAAAGCGUGGGGAGCAAACAGGAUUAGAUACCCCAGUAGUCCCUGUCUCUUAUAC
rnacentral:rRNA from 1 species